UGGCGGCAGGCCUAACACAUGCAAGUCGAGCGGAUGAGAAGAGCUUGCUCUUCGAUUCAGCGGCGGACGGGUGAGUAAUGCCUAGGAAUCUGCCUGGUAGUGGGGGACAACGUUUCGAAAGGAACGCUAAUACCGCAUACGUCCUACGGGAGAAAGCAGGGGACCUUCGGGCCUUGCGCUAUCAGAUGAGCCUAGGUCGGAUUAGCUAGUUGGUGAGGUAAUGGCUCACCAAGGCGACGAUCCGUAACUGGUCUGAGAGGAUGAUCAGUCACACUGGAACUGAGACACGGUCCAGACUCCUACGGGAGGCAGCAGUGGGGAAUAUUGGACAAUGGGCGAAAGCCUGAUCCAGCCAUGCCGCGUGUGUGAAGAAGGUCUUCGGAUUGUAAAGCACUUUAAGUUGGGAGGAAGGGCAUUAACCUAAUACGUUAGUGUUUUGACGUUACCGACAGAAUAAGCACCGGCUAACUCUGUGCCAGCAGCCGCGGUAAUACAGAGGGUGCAAGCGUUAAUCGGAAUUACUGGGCGUAAAGCGCGCGUAGGUGGUUUGUUAAGUUGGAUGUGAAAGCCCCGGGCUCAACCUGGGAACUGCAUCCAAAACUGGCAAGCUAGAGUACGGUAGAGGGUGGUGGAAUUUCCUGUGUAGCGGUGAAAUGCGUAGAUAUAGGAAGGAACACCAGUGGCGAAGGCGACCACCUGGACUGAUACUGACACUGAGGUGCGAAAGCGUGGGGAGCAAACAGGAUUAGAUACCCUGGUAGUCCACGCCGUAAACGAUGUCAACUAGCCGUUGGAAUCCUUGAGAUUUUAGUGGCGCAGCUAACGCAUUAAGUGACCGCCCUGGGAUCCCC
rnacentral:rRNA from 1 species